ACGGGAGGCAGCAGUAGGGAAUCUUCCGCAAUGGACGAAAGUCUGACGGAGCAACGCCGCGUGAGUGAUGAAGGUUUUCGGAUCGUAAAACUCUGUUGUUAGGGAAGAACAAGUACCGUUCGAAUAGGGCGGCACCUUGACGGUACCUAACCAGAAAGCCACGGCUAACUACGUGCCAGCAGCCGCGGUAAUACGUAGGUGGCAAGCGUUGUCCGGAAUUAUUGGGCGUAAAGCGCGCGCAGGCGGUUUCUUAAGUCUGAUGUGAAAGCCCCCGGCUCAACCGGGGAGGGUCAUUGGAAACUGGGGAACUUGAGUGCAGAAGAGGAGAGUGGAAUUCCACGUGUAGCGGUGAAAUGCGUAGAGAUGUGGAGGAACACCAGUGGCGAAGGCGACUCUCUGGUCUGUAACUGACGCUGAGGCGCGAAAGCGUGGGGAGCGAACAGGAUUAGAUACCCUGGUAGUCCACGCCGUAAACGAUGAGUGCUAAGUGUUAGAGGGUUUCCGCCCUUUAGUGCUGCAGCAAACGCAUUAAGCACUCCGCCUGGGGAGUACGGUCGCAAGACUGAAACUCAAAGGAAUUGACGGGGGCCCGCACAAGCGGUGGAGCAUGUGGUUUAAUUCGAAGCAACGCGAAGAACCUUACCAGGUCUUGACAUCCUCUGACAACCCUAGAGAUAGGGCUUCCCCUUCGGGGGCAGAGUGACAGGUGGUGCA
rnacentral:rRNA from 1 species